rnacentral:rRNA from 1 species
GACGAACGCUGGCGGCGUGCUUAACACAUGCAAGUCGAACGAUGAAGCCGGAGCUUGCUCUGGUGAAUUAGUGGCGAACGGGUGAGUAACACGUGAGUAACCUGCCCUUGACUCUGGGAUAACUGCGGGAAACUGUAGCUAAUACCGGAUACGACCCUCGGAGGCAUCUCCUGGGGGUGGAAAGAAUUUCGGUCAAGGAUGGACUCGCGGCCUAUCAGCUAGUUGGUGAGGGAAAGGCCAACCAAGGCGACGACGGGUAGCCGGCCUGAGAGGGGGAACGGCCACACUGGGACUGAGACACGGCCCAGACGCCGACGGGAGGCAGCAGUGGGGAAUAUUGCACAAUGGGCGCAAGCCUGAUGCAGCAACGCCGCGUGAGGGAUGACGGCCUUCGGGUUGUAAACCUCUUUUAGCAGGGAAGAAGCGAAAGUGACGGUACCUGCAGAAAAAGCACCGGCUAACUACGUGCCAGCAGCCGCGGUAA